UGAAUUAAAGCCAAUUAUUAUUUUUACAAUAACUAGAACUGUAAACAUUCAUAGCGAACAUUUUAGAUAAGAGACUGCAGAUAGCAUUUAUAAAUAUUUUAUAAAUAUUUCUGAAGUAUUAGUACAGUAACACAAACAUGAUAUACCUUAUCCUUGCUAUAUAUCUCUUCUACAGAUUAAGUAAACCUUUAACAUGACCAUACCCUGAACCAGACCACUGACUCUUGUGUGAGGGAAAAGCCCCCUGUCCCAGCGAAUAUUUUCCAUUCCCUAAUGAAGCAGGCUGGACAGAAUGGAGUAUUCAAUGGUAUCCAG
rnacentral:lncRNA from 1 species